AUUCCGGUUGAUCCUGCCGGAGGUCACUGCUAUUGGGAUUCGACUAAGCCAUGCGAGUCGAGAGGGUUCGGCCCUCGGCAGACGGCUCAGUAACACGUGGAUAAUCUGCCCUAAGGAGGAGGAUAACCUCGGGAAACUGAGAAUAAUACUCCAUAGGUCUAGAAGGCUGGAAUGCAUCUAGGCCCAAAACUCCGGUGCCUUAGGAUGAGUCCGCGGACUAUCAGGUUGUAGUCAGGGUAAUGACCUGACUAGCCUACGACGGAUAUGGGUUGUGAGAGCAAUAACCCAGAGACGAUAUCUGAGACACGAUAUCGGGCCCUACGGGGCGCAGCAGGCGCGAAAACUUCACAAUGUGCGAAAGCACGAUGAGGGGAUCCCAAGUGC
rnacentral:rRNA from 2 species